rnacentral:tRNA from 1 species
GCAUUGGUGGUUCAGUGGUAGAAUUCUAGCUUGCCAUGUUGGAGACCUGGGUUUGAUUCCCAGCCAAUGCA